UGCCGUUGUCGUGUUCUCACAGUGAAGGGC
rnacentral:piRNA from 1 species